rnacentral:rRNA from 1 species
UACAGAGGUCCCAAGCGUUGUUCGGAAUUACUGGGCGUAAAGCGCGUGCAGGCGGCCGACUAAGUCAGGUGUGAAAGCCCGGGGCUCACCUCCGGAAGUGCGCUUGAAACUGGUCGGCUAGAGUACGGGAGAGGGAAGCGGAAUUCCUGGUGUAGCGGUGAAAUGCGUAGAUAUCAGGAGGAACACCAGUGGCGAAGGCGGUGCUCUGGGCCGGAACUGACGCUGAGGAGCGAAAGCGUGGGGAGCAAACAGG